GACGAACGCUGGCGGCGUGCUUAACACAUGCAAGUCGAACGGAAAGGCCCUGCUUUUGUGGGGUGCUCGAGUGGCGAACGGGUGAGUAACACGUGAGUAACCUGCCCUUGACUUUGGGAUAACUUCAGGAAACUGGGGCUAAUACCGGAUAGGAGCUCCUGCUGCAUGGUGGGGGUUGGAAAGUUUCGGCGGUUGGGGAUGGACUCGCGGCUUAUCAGCUUGUUGGUGGGGUGGUGGCUUACCAAGGCUUUGACGGGUAGCCGGCCUGAGAGGGUGACCGGCCACAUAGGGACUGGGAUACGGCCCAGACUCCUACGGGAGGCAGCAGUGGGGAAUAUUGCACAAUGGGCGGAAGCCUGAUGCAGCAACGCCGCGUGCGGGAUGACGGCCUUCGGGUUGUAAACCGCUUUCGCCUGUGACGAAGCGUGAGUGACGGUAAUGGGUAAAGAAGCACCGGCUAACUACGUG
rnacentral:rRNA from 1 species